GGGACAGAGCGACCGCUAGUCUGGUGUUGUGCUACUUCUUCUACUUCAUGUUGAAUGAACUGAGUCACGUUGACGCUGUGGCGGGCAAGGUGAUAAGAUUUCACCGUCCUUUCUUCGGAGCCUUCUCUACUCUUUAGGGAAAUAACGUAGAAACUGAAACCGCGCAAUCAUCAUUAGAUUCUAUUUCUUCGUUCGACUCAAAAAGGUGGACCACAUGUGUUGGUAAGGUUACAACAGGAUCGACCUCUGAGAUUUUUUAAUAAUCCUAUUUCUCGGAAAACAUAACAAGGUGUGCUAACUUGGCCGGGAGUGUGGUAUGCUGUAAAUUCCAGGCUUAAAACGCAGUGUGAGGGCAAGAAGAGAGGACGCUGAUCUAAUCUCUGACAUAAAAAAGAGAGUAGUUCUACUUGUAUUUUGUAAGGAACAAGAGGACUCCAACGUACUGACUGAAAUCUGAAGUUCAAGUGAAGUGAAGAAGAAUAAACUCGCUAUUUGGAUAGGCCUACAGGCUUGCGACUCAAAGGUGUUUAGUAGAAAAGUCAUGGCGGCGCCCGUUGUACGAGGCAGCUUAUUAUGUCUGUCAGCCCCCGUGUCAGGCCGGUCAAGCUUUUGGACUGGUCAGUCUCUCAGCUUGAUGGUGCUCUCGGUGGCAGUUGUGCUCCAGCUGCUAUGUGUAGGAUGUUCGCCUGCCAAUGCAAUGCCACGUCUUAGACGAGACGCUAACGAACAGCUGCACUCCUCUACACCAUCUGUUUCAACAACUUCAGCUGCACCAUCUACUAGUGGAUCUACAACUAAUGCCUCAAUAGAUGGUGGAUCUACAACUAAAGCCCCAACAGUUGGUGAAUCUACAAGUAACGCCCCAACAGAUGGUGGAUCUACAACUAACGCCCCAACAGAUGGUGGAUCUACAACUGAGACCCCAACACAUGGUGGAUCUACAACUAACGCCCCAACAGAUGGUGAAUCUACAACUAACGCCCCAACAGAUGGUGAAUCUACAACUAACGCCCCAACAGAUGGUGGAUCUACAACUAACGCCCCAACAGAUGGUGAAUCUACAACCAACGCCCCAAUAGAUGGUGAAUCUACAACUAACGCCUCAACAGAUGGUGAAUCUACAACUAACGCUACAACAGAUGGUAAAUCUACAACUAACGCUACAACAUUUAGUGAAUCUACAACUAACGCUACAACAGAUGGUGGAUCUACAACUAACGCCCCAACAGAUGAUGGAUCUACAACUGAGGCCCCAACAGAUGGUGGAUCUACAACUAAAGCCUCAACAGUUGGUGGAUCUACAACUAAUUCAGCAUCGCCGCAGAAAUCCCCGGAGUCCGGCGAGAGCCUCUCUCCUGGAGGAGCAGCAGCUGUUGGCAUCGUCGUGACCCUGUGUGUACUGGGACUGGUCAUUGCAGGAGUUGUGGUCUACCGAAAAAAGAACAUGACUCCUCGAGGCAUGAAAGCGCUGCUAAAGGGCGGAGUGCGGUACAAACUACAUUAUACAAACGCUGCCUCCCCACCAACAGAAACCGUGGAAAUGGGUUCCGAAUUUUAGUGGUCGGAUCGCUAGAGGUUCACUUCCUCGUCUUCGGUUGUCCGUCGAUAUCAGUCAUGACUGUGAUUAUGAUUUUAAGCCGGACGAGGAUGUUUUGUCUGUGUUCUUAUUAACGUUUUUCUCCCCGUCAACUCUCUCUCUCUC